UUAAAUUGAAGAGUUUGAUCAUGGCUCAGAUUGAACGCUGGCGGCAGGCCUAACACAUGCAAGUCGAACGGUAACAGGAAGCAGCUUGCUGCUUUGCUGACGAGUGGCGGACGGGUGAGUAAUGUCUGGGAAACUGCCUGAUGGAGGGGGAUAACUACUGGAAACGGUGGCUAAUACCGCAUAACGUCGCAAGACCAAAGAGGGGGACCUUCGGGCCUCUUGCCAUCAGAUGUGCCCAGAUGGGAUUAGCUUGUUGGUGAGGUAACGGCUCACCAAGGCGACGAUCCCUAGCUGGUCUGAGAGGAUGACCAGCCACACUGGAACUGAGACACGGUCCAGACUCCUACGGGAGGCAGCAGUGGGGAAUAUUGCACAAUGGGCGCAAGCCUGAUGCAGCCAUGCCGCGUGUAUGAAGAAGGCCUUCGGGUUGUAAAGUACUUUCAGCGGGGAGGAAGGUGUUGUGAGUAAUAACCACAGCAAUGGACGUUACCCGCAGAAGAAGCACCGGCUAAC
rnacentral:rRNA from 1 species